AGUGAACGCUGGCGGUAGGCCUAACACAUGCAAGUCGAACGGCAGCACAGUAAGAGCUUGCUCUUACGGGUGGCGAGUGGCGGACGGGUGAGGAAUACAUCGGAAUCUACUUUUUCGUGGGGGAUAACGUAGGGAAACUUACGCUAAUACCGCAUACGACCUACGGGUGAAAGCAGGGGAUCUUCGGACCUUGCGCGAUUGAAUGAGCCGAUGUCGGAUUAGCUAGUUGGCGGGGUAAAGGCCCACCAAGGCGACGAUCCGUAGCUGGUCUGAGAGGAUGAGCAACCACACUAGAGCGAAGAGGCGGAGCAGACUCCGACAGGAGGCAGCGGGGAAGAAUAGAGGACAGGGGGCAGAAUGCUGAAGCAGCCAUGCCUCGGUGAAGAAGAAGGCCGUCUUGUUGUAAAGCCCUUUUGUGAGAGAAGAAAAGCAGCAGAAUAAUACCCCGCUGUGCUGGCAGUACCCGAAGAAGAAGCAGCGACUAACGUC
rnacentral:rRNA from 1 species